rnacentral:lncRNA from 1 species
AUAGACAGAACUAAAAAGGGAAAAAUAAACGGAAGACUAAAAACAGAGAAUUUCAAAAAUGAUAAAAAUUCCCCGUUGUCAUGAACCCUGUGGCAUGCCUUACAUUGUUGAAUAUUUUAACUGAUACGACGGCAAAGGGUAAUGCCAUCACCAACGGGAAGCUGGCAGAUUUCGAUUCUGGGAUCAGCAGCUAAGGCCUUGUUGAGUUCCAAUACGAAAUCUCUAUAAUACCUAACGUAUUUUCUGAGUGGUGCAUCAGGCGGUGCAACUACUGAUCCGUUCCAUAGUGUGUUGUCAUAGCCAAUUACUCCACCAACCUUAACCAAGUCGAUUAAUCUCUUGUGAUAGUUCAAAUAGUUGUCUUUGUCAGCGUCCACAAAUAUGAAGUCAUAUGAUCCAUGGUAUUUCCCCUGUUAUAACAAAAUUAUUCAAAAGAAACAUCAACAUUAAACAUUGUACACAAGUUAUCAAUUUAUUUAUUUAUUUAUGGGAUUUUAGCUACUUACGUCUUCAAUCAUUUGGUCAAGAACAGGAAGUGCAGGGCCUUCUCUAAAUUCAAUUUUGUGUGCUAGACCAGCCUUUUCAAUCACUGGUAGACCAAUCUCAUAGUUAUCGCGGUUGAUAUCCAUGGCCAGAAUCUGAAUCAUCAAUUUUAGCAAACAAUUUAUAAUUGUUAUCUCGUGUAUUCAGGUUAGUCAAAAAUACAGAAACAACAAUUAGUAAAAGUUAAUUACCUUGCCAUCAUCUGGAAGAGCCAUGGCAGUUGCCAGCAGAGAGUAACCAGUAAAAACGCCAAUUUCCAUGGUGUUUUUGGCAUUGAUGAGUUUGAGAAGCAUAUUCAAGAAUUGUCCUUCAUCAGCAGAGGUGGUCAUAAGGUUCCUGUUUUUUCCACCAAAGGAAGAUUUCAUGCUUAGUUCCAGCUACAAUAUUUAAGUAUCGAAUUGGUUGAACUAAAGUGAAAAAAUGAGUAGGAGAAAGUUACCAAGGGUGUUUUGCAGUAAUCUCUCUUAGUUCUUUCAUGGCUUCAGGCUCUCUCGGGUACACGCUUGUUUCAAGAAUGUACUGUUUAAACACAAAUCAAACAAUUUAUUAAGACCAACACGACGUUCAUAAAAUGUUUUACAUACUAAUUUCUUGUAUGACAAUAUGAAUUAAAAGUGGAAUGUGGGGUUUAAUUUUCUUACCUGAUAUAGGGCAUCGCUUUGCAAGAGACUCUUGUGUCCAACUUCUUGGUGUCUACCAUUUUCUCCAUUGCUUGCCAUUGCUGCUUGGUAUUGAAGUGGAUAUGCUAAUACUAUCUAUCUUUUGUUUCUGAUGUAGAUUAGUCUUAGGUAAGCAACCUGCUUUUGUAGAGACGAAAAUGGCUUAAUUUAUAGUAGUAGAAAACAAGAGAGAUGUAUUGUGUAAAGAGUGGAGGGGUUGUUUGGGUGACAAUGAUUGGAAGUUGGUGAAUAUUUGGCUCUUUCUUGUACAGUUUCUUGGAGAAUAUAACCAAACGACCAACUCCUUUUUUGACUUAAAACUCAUUACCUUACAAUACUCACCACCAACAUCUCACUUUCCUAAUUUCAGAUUGGGCUUCUUUGUUUGACAAUUUAAGUUGAAAAGUAUUCUCUAUUUAAGAUCGAUCCAUGUCAAGUGGACAACGCAUUGCUUAUAUUUUCUAAAAAAACUCUAGGAUUACUACUAACUCUAAAUGAUAAUCAUUAAAAGUAGUUGGUUGCUUACAUAAUAAAUAAUGAGGAUGAAUAUUUGGUAAAAAAACAUUUGUUAAAGAAUGAUUAUUUUUAUUGAGUUUAAGUAACAUACACCGUGGUCAUAUAUGGAUGGAAGACUUGUACUUCUACGGAUAAAUAAAUUUUUGGAUGAAAGCGGAGUGAGACAAUGAAAUUGUGUAGCAAGAAGGAUAUCUUAUUUUGGAUGAUCUGAUGGUGACUAUAUAUAGAACUUAAACUUAUAUUUAUUUAUCUAUAUUGAGUUUUAGAUUAUUAUUUUUACCCCUCCCUAAGAGCUACAACCUUUUUCUACUCCUUUAGAGCCUCGAACCUACCAUUAGAAGUGAAGAGUGUCUAUCUUUUCAGCAAUUCCCUCUUAUCAAAGUUGGGAAAUUUCAACUUAUAUGUAGUAUUUAUUUUGUAAUAUUAUUUUAGACAACGAAUUUCUAUGAGUCAUCUUAUUCCGCAAUAUUGGUCAAUUGAUUUUUAUAGUGAUACAAAUUAACGAAUAUAUUUGAGAUAAGGAGUAUAAAUCAAAUGGAUUAAAAUUGGACCGGUUUGGCCAUAAAAAUAUUUAUUUAUUCUUGAAAAUAGAGUUUGACAUGAAAAUUUUCAAAUUCAACUUGAAGUUGCAUUUCAAUUACAAAACAGUUCAUGACUUGUUUUCCAGCUAAUAUUUUAUUUUUAAAGUUGUAUUUAAGUAUAUUCGCAUGAACAUUAUUCUAUAUAUUUAUUUACAAAAAGUUAAUUAAACAAAGCUUCAUCUUCAACUCCAACUCCAUAAAUUUCAAAUAAAGUGAAAAAUAUUUGAUAUUUAUGCCAAACUCCUACUUAGAAUCAUGAAGGCUGUGCGCAAACGACAAAAUGUUGCCCAACUUUAUUUAUAUAGCGGUGUUUGAUUAUGCCUGAAAACGUUUUUAUUUAACAAAAAGAAACAACUUUUGACACACAUGAAAAUUUAAAAGUAUAACUAAUAAUUUUCUGUCUUAAAUAUACCCAGAGAUUUCUGCAGCUAUAAAAACCUGUAAUUGAGGACAAAAAAAGCUUGAAAUUAAAGGGUCCAAUAAAUUAGUAAGAGAGAGUAGUUAGAUUAAUCAGUUUCAGAUUAUAGUGAUUUUCUCACUGUCUAACAAUGUAAAACCCAAGUACUUAAAAAAACAAGUAGUUGGAAUUCAAAGAUGAGUAGAAAAUAGCUAUGACAUUGCCAUUUGCCAAAUGUAAUUCACUGAUCUGCUUGUAUAUGUAUGGUGUAUUUUUCUUCUCCAACGCGAUUCUGUCAAAUGCAAUUGGGGAUAAAGCAACAUAAACUCGUCUAAUUCAUGCAAAUUCAGAAUUCAAUUUUUUUCAAGAAUAACAUACUUUGAAGGCUUGUGUUUAAAUUUUUAUCUCUGUUGUAAAGAUUUUUGCAUAUAAGACCAAGCAGCAUAUUUUUCAAAGUUAUGCCCUCGCCCAGAAAAAUUACUCUAAUUGCCUGAUCAUAUUUGUGAAAAUCUCCACUGUGGAUUUUGUUGGUUUUAGUGCAUUGUUUCAAUAACCUAAAGAUCGACCCACAAUUGCAGCAAUAAUGCAACAAAUGAGUAGGAGGCAUUUUGUAUAGUUUGGUGCUUGGAAGUUGUUGAAAGAUGCUUCUUGCUAAUCAAUACUAGCAGAAAAAGUUUGUGGAUGAAUGAUCUUUACUAAUUCAAACCUCAUCUUUUGGUUCGAAACUGCAAGUUUGGUCAUGGGUGUCACCUAACAGAUUCCCCACUAGCCCCAUUGACAUAUGACAUUUGUGUACAUUUGAUCAUUCAACUUGAAUUUCUUUUUUUUUAUUUAUUUAUCAAAAUACAUUGUGAAAUAAGCAUUUGGUAACGUAGACAAUGCAAUCUUUUGCCAGAAUACCGAACUAAAAGGAAAAAAAGGGUAAAAAAAACAAACGAACGAGUAAAACAGGGGAUUUCAAAAAUGAAAAAUCCUCCAUUGUCAUGACUCAUGAGCUCCGUAGCAUGCCUUUCACUCUUGGUUGCCACCAAUAGUACUAUACGAAUAUUUUAACUGAUGCGACGGCAAAGAGUGAUGCCAUCACCAACAGGAAGCUGGCAAAUUUCGAUUCUGGGAUCAGCAGCCAAGGCCUUGUUGAGUUCCAAUACGAAAUCCCUAUAAUACCUAACAUAUUUCCUUAGGGGUGCAUCAGGUGGUGCUACUACUGAUCCGUUCCAUAGGGUGUUGUCAUAGCCAAUUAAUCCACCAACCUUCACCAAGUCAAUUAAUCUCUUGUGAUAGUUCAAGUAAUUGUCCUUGUCAGCAUCCACAAAUAUGAAAUCAUAUGAUCCAUGAUAUUUGCCCUGUUAUAAAAAAUUAUUCAAAAGAAAGG